AGAAUCCGGUGCAGGCAGCCUCCUCUGAGCCAAGUUCUUCCUCAGAAGAAACAUUUUGGAAGGAAUUGACUGAUAUUACCCAUAAUUCACUUUCCUACAUGAGAGGAAACAUGAAGCUUUGGAGGAAGCCAGAGUUUCCUAACAGUGGAAGUCAGACGCACCUGAUCUAGGACCGCGUAUGGAGGUGGCAUGGGCCGGGUUUGAAAAAAUCGGAUUUGUGUUGUUGAGAUCGUCAUGAAAAAAAUCAGAAAUGAAAACACUGGCAUCGAGCUGCGGUGUGAACGUAGCCAAGUCUGUCGUAAACCGUUAGGUCAGCUUUCUGCUCACACCGCCAUCAGACACGACGAGGUUUCACCCUGACUGAGCUGCAUCUCUACAUCAUGCUGAGCUUUAACCCCUGUUCCAUGUUUUCUUUCAGAAGUUCUCCAGGAGAUUCAGAAGUCACUGGAAGGAGACCAGGCGUCAUUCCAGGAGAAUAAUGUGAAGACUGCCAUCGCCUGAGCAGCGUCUGUCAUCAGUCCAGAGAAGAGACGUGCAUGAGGUGUAGCGCAGUCCUCAUGCUCGGCUAACAACCACUACUGACUCCAGCGUUGACACCGACGGGCUCCUGCUCUGAGCCAUGCAGCUGUUUAAAGACUGGCGGAGGGCGGAUGAGACACCGGCCGUGCCUAAAGACCACACACUGUCACUGAGCAUGCUCAGAAGCAUUUAACCCAAAACUACCUGAAGAAGAUUGACAUGUGACCAACAUCAGAAAUCUGCUGUAGACGCCGCGUUCUGAAGCCUCUAUCGACACCAGCUUGCCUCGCUCCCACGUGAUGGAGGGUCUGCAGCCUGAAUCUCAUUUCACUACAGCUUUGUUUCCUUUUAAUGGUGGGAAGCCGGUCCUGCAGGAGAAUGCUCAAAAUCCUUAUUUAUCCAACACGCCGAUGCCAGAUUAAAACGAUGCCAUUUUCUACUGAACUAGAUGUUAGAAACACUAAACGUUUUUAGGUUUUUCUUGACGCAGGAGUUUUUUCUUUUGUUAGAAAAUUUGUUGAAAAUGGAAAUGAUAAAAAUGAAAAAAUUUUCUACAGCUGCUUUUUACUCCAGAUUUUCAGUUUAAAACCCCGUUUUUUUGUUGAGUUUAGACUUUUUCUUAGUGAAUAGAAAUGACCUUGGUCAUUGCUGAACCAAUCAGCGGCGCGGUGGACGUGCGGUUUCUGAUCGUUUUGACUGGUCCUGGCUAAUGAUGGUCCCACACUGUACCCCCUACUUUAAACUCACCACAGGUACUUGUGCACUGCUGCGGAGCUCCAGCGCUGGAACAGCUUUUCUGUGGGUCUGUUUUUAUGUAAGCCUUUUUAUUCCACCAAUGACAGAUGUAAUUUAGGAAUGUAACUGUAAGCUAUUGUAGUGAAAUGAUCUUAAUAUAUAGUGUGUUGUGACUUUACCUGUGGGCCUGUUGUAACUGGGGUGGCUGCUACUUGGAUCACACGAGGAAAUGUUUGGUACUCUGUCCUCACGCUGGGUUUUUCAGCAGCGGUCUAGAAUAUAUUUUUGUAGCAAACCCUGAUAUUUUUCAGCUGUAACACUACGUUUUAAUGCAGAUGAUUAUUACACCUUUUUCUUAAGAACCA